rnacentral:rRNA from 1 species
UACAGAGGGUGCGAGCGUUAAUCGGAAUUACUGGGCGUAAAGCGUGCGUAGACGGUUAUUUAAGUCGGGUGUGAAAGCCCCGGGCUCAACCUGGGAAUUGCAUUCGAGACUGAAUAGCUAGGGUACGGUAGAGGGAAGUGGAAUUUCCGGUGUAGCGGUGAAAUGCGUAGAUAUCGGGAGGAACACCGGUGGCGAAGGCGGGUCUCUGGGCCGAUACUGACGCUGAGGAGCGAAAGCGUGGGGAGCGAACAGG